rnacentral:misc_RNA from 1 species
GGCCUGAAGAAGGUGGUGGUGUUACUGGUGGCGUUAUAAUUACAGGAGGAUUUGUUGCGGGAGGUGAUAUUACGGGGGGAGGAUUAAUGAUUAUUGGUGGUAGUACUACCGGUGGCAUUGGUGGAUUUUUUGAAGGUGGGCGGCCUCCAUAGUGUGGUGGGUGCUUGGUGGUUGGUGGGUUCGGGUGUGGAACUUUUGGGUGGGUUGGGCGGUGUGUUGGUGGAUGUGGCUGAGUACAAGGACCGCAAGCGUAAAUGGGUGGCAAUGAUAUCGCCAUGAAAAUAAUGAAGAUGAAGAACAUGGCUGCGACCAUGGAACCCAUGACUUCCCUUGGAAGUUGCUAAC